AUGAGCCGUGUGAUGGGAAACCUUCCCGCACGGUUCGGAGAGCACUGAAUUAGAAUGAGAGGUGCACCACCACAUCAUUGCAUGCAAGGGGAGCUCAGAUUGUUCGCACAUCAUGAGCGGCUAGCGUCCCGUGACCGUCUCCGGGAAUAGGGUUAUGUCUAAAACAUUGGGUUUGCGUAUGUUUACACUUUUUGGAUUAAGAAUCGACUAAUCAUUCGGU
rnacentral:ncRNA from 1 species